CUUCCUUCCUUCCUUCCUUCCUUCCUUUCUCUCUCUCUCUCUCUCUCUCUCUCUCUCUCUCUCUCUCUGGGGGAGGGGAUAAUCUAGAGAAAGCGGGAAGCACGACUUGAGAGAAGCUUGCCCUCUGCAGACGUCACAGUGGAACACUAUUAUAACCUAUAAUUCUCGAACACACGGAGAUGGAGGGAGAGUACCCUGAGAGACAUCAGGAAGCUCCAUCUAGGACUCAUCCUAAAGCAGACCGCUGUGCCCCGCUGCUGCUGGUAGAGGCCAACCUCCCUUCCAGAGAAGAAAGAUGAAAUCUUAGUGGCAGGAGCCCAUCUCUUCAGAGGUGGCUGAAGCCUUGGCUUUCAAAAUAAAGGCAAACUUUUAUGCUUUCAA